rnacentral:rRNA from 1 species
UACGUAGGGUGCAAGCGUUAAUCGGAAUUACUGGGCGUAAAGCGUGCGCAGGCGGUUUUGUAAGUCUGUCGUGAAAUCCCCGGGCUCAACCUGGGAAUUGCGAUGGAGACUGCAAGGCUAGAAUCUGGCAGAGGGGGGGUAGAAUUCCACGUGUAGCAGUGAAAUGCGUAGAGAUGUGGAGGAACACCGAUGGCGAAGGCAGCCCCCUGGGUCAAGAUUGACGCUCAUGCACGAAAAGCGUGGGGAGCAAACGAGG